rnacentral:pre_miRNA from 1 species
UCUAUCUAAUAACCCGUCUCUUAAUUUUUAAUUAAAAAAGUUAAGAACUGUUUUUAAAUAAGAGUUUUAAGAACCGGUUCUUAACUUUUUUUAGUUAAAAGCUAAGAGACGGGUUCUUAUAUUCC